rnacentral:rRNA from 1 species
AACGUAGGUGGCAAGCGUUAUCCGGAUUUACUGGGCGUAAAGGGUGUGCAGGCGGGGGUGUAAGUGGGGUGUGAAAUCUCCAGGCUUAACCUGGAGGGGUUAUGCCAGACUGCAGUUCUAGAGGGCGAGAGAGGGGGGUGGAAUUCCGGGUGUAGUGGUGAAAUGCGUAGAGAUCCGGAGGAACCCCAGAGGCGAAGGCGGCCCCCUGGCUCGUACCUGACGCUCAGCCACGAAAGCAUGGGGAGCGAACGGG